GCGGCUGUCGGCAGCAAGCGGCAUUCGGGGACGCGACCGAACGCUUUGCCUAGCUGUUCUCCGCGACUGAGGAUUUCUGCCGAUAAGAGCGGACUCGGGCAGUUCCGUAGUUUCCUUUUGCAAGAGAAAAUUUUUCGUCUUUAGGAAAAAAGUAAUACUGUCGGGGAAAACAAUGUUGUCUUCCCGAGAAGACCGUAUUUUGGGAGAUCACAACUGCUAGCGCUACUCAACGUGCCAGUCACCUCUUUGACGGAGAGUCUUCGUUCCUUCUCUCCUCCGUAACAGAAAGUCAGAGUGCAGCAAUGGAGAAAGAGAGAGAAACGAACUCUCUCCAAAUUAAGCGCCAGUGGCUCUGAAUGGUGGCUCCAGGAGAUGUGCUUUCGGCGAGAACGCAAGGUGAUGGCAAAAUCGCUCCUUUCCGCGCUGCGGAGAAAAGCCCCCUGUUCGGAGGAAAGCAGCCGGCUGAAGUCGCUCUCUGCCGGCUACCGAACUGCCCGAAUGCGCGGCUGUCGGCAGCAAGCGGCAUUCGGGGACGCGACCGAACGCUUUGCCUAGCUGUUCUCCGCGACUGAGGAUUUCUGCCGAUAAGAGCGGACUCGGGCAGUUCCGUAGUUUCCUUUUGCAAGAGAAAAUUUUUCGUCUUUAGGAAAAAAGUAAUACUGUCGGGGAAAACAAUGUUGUCUUCCCGAGAAGACCGUAUUUUGGGAGAUCACAACUGCUAGCGCUACUCAACGUGCCAGUCACCUCUUUGACGGAGAGUCUUCGUUCCUUCUCUCCUCCGUAACAGAAAGUCAGAGUGCAGCAAUGGAGAAAGAGAGAGAAACGAACUCUCUCCAAAUUAAGCGCCAGUGGCUCUGAAUGGUGGCUCCAGGAGAUGUGCUUUCGGCGAGAACGCAAGGUGAUGGCAAAAUCGCUCCUUUCCGCGCUGCGGAGAAAAGCCCCCUGUUCGGAGGAAAGCAGCCGGCUGAAGUCGCUCUCUGCCGGCUACCGAAUUGCCCGAAUGCGCGGCUGUCGGCAGCAAGCGGCAUUCGGGGACGCGACCGAACGCUUUGCCUAGCUGUUCUCCGCGACUGAGGAUUUCUGCCGAUAAGAGCGGACUCGGGCAGUUCCGUAGUUUCCUUUUGCAAGAGAAAAUUUUUCGUCUUUAGGAAAAAAGUAAUACUGUCGGGGAAAACAAUGUUGUCUUCCCGAGAAGACCGUAUUUUGGGAGAUCACAACUGCUAGCGCUACUCAACGUGCCAGUCACCUCUUUGACGGAGAGUCUUCGUUCCUUCUCUCCUCCGUAACAGAAAGUCAGAGUGCAGCAAUGGAGAAAGAGAGAGAAACGAACUCUCUCCAAAUUAAGCGCCAGUGGCUCUGAAUGGUGGCUCCAGGAGAUGUGCUUUCGGCGAGAACGCAAGGUGAUGGCAAAAUCGCUCCUUUCCGCGCUGCGGAGAAAAGCCCCCUGUUCGGAGGAAAGCAGCCGGCUGAAGUCGCUCUCUGCCGGCUACCGAACUGCCCGAAUGCGCGGCUGUCGGCAGCAAGCGGCAUUCGGGGACGCGACCGAACGCUUUGCCUAGCUGUUCUCCGCGACUGAGGAUUUCUGCCGAUAAGAGCGGACUCGGGCAGUUCCGUAGUUUCCUUUUGCAAGAGAAAAUUUUUCGUCUUUAGGAAAAAAGUAAUACUGUCGGGGAAAACAAUGUUGUCUUCCCGAGAAGACCGUAUUUUGGGAGAUCACAACUGCUAGCGCUACUCAACGUGCCAGUCACCUCUUUGACGGAGAGUCUUCGUUCCUUCUCUCCUCCGUAACAGAAAGUCAGAGUGCAGCAAUGGAGAAAGAGAGAGAAACGAACUCUCUCCAAAUUAAGCGCCAGUGGCUCUGAAUGGUGGCUCCAGGAGAUGUGCUUUCGGCGAGAACGCAAGGUGAUGGCAAAAUCGCUCCUUUCCGCGCUGCGGAGAAAAGCCCCCUGUUCGGAGGAAAGCAGCCGGCUGAAGUCGCUCUCUGCCGGCUACCGAAUUGCCCGAAUGCGCGGCUGUCGGCAGCAAGCGGCAUUCGGGGACGCGACCGAACGCUUUGCCUAGCUGUUCUCCGCGACUGAGGAUUUCUGCCGAUAAGAGCGGACUCGGGCAGUUCCGUAGUUUCCUUUUGCAAGAGAAAAUUUUUCGUCUUUAGGAAAAAAGUAAUACUGUCGGGGAAAACAAUGUUGUCUUCCCGAGAAGACCGUAUUUUGGGAGAUCACAACUGCUAGCGCUACUCAACGUGCCAGUCACCUCUUUGACGGAGAGUCUUCGUUCCUUCUCUCCUCCGUAACAGAAAGUCAGAGUGCAGCAAUGGAGAAAGAGAGAGAAACGAACUCUCUCCAAAUUAAGCGCCAGUGGCUCUGAAUGGUGGCUCCAGGAGAUGUGCUUUCGGCGAGAACGCAAGGUGAUGGCAAAAUCGCUCCUUUCCGCGCUGCGGAGAAAAGCCCCCUGUUCGGAGGAAAGCAGCCGGCUGAAGUCGCUCUCUGCCGGCUACCGAACUGCCCGAAUGCGCGGCUGUCGGCAGCAAGCGGCAUUCGGGGACGCGACCGAACGCUUUGCCUAGCUGUUCUCCGCGACUGAGGAUUUCUGCCGAUAAGAGCGGACUCGGGCAGUUCCGUAGUUUCCUUUUGCAAGAGAAAAUUUUUCGUCUUUAGGAAAAAAGUAAUACUGUCGGGGAAAACAAUGUUGUCUUCCCGAGAAGACCGUAUUUUGGGAGAUCACAACUGCUAGCGCUACUCAACGUGCCAGUCACCUCUUUGACGGAGAGUCUUCGUUCCUUCUCUCCUCCGUAACAGAAAGUCAGAGUGCAGCAAUGGAGAAAGAGAGAGAAACGAACUCUCUCCAAAUUAAGCGCCAGUGGCUCUGAAUGGUGGCUCCAGGAGAUGUGCUUUCGGCGAGAACGCAAGGUGAUGGCAAAAUCGCUCCUUUCCGCGCUGCGGAGAAAAGCCCCCUGUUCGGAGGAAAGCAGCCGGCUGAAGUCGCUCUCUGCCGGCUACCGAAUUGCCCGAAUGCGCGGCUGUCGGCAGCAAGCGGCAUUCGGGGACGCGACCGAACGCUUUGCCUAGCUGUUCUCCGCGACUGAGGAUUUCUGCCGAUAAGAGCGGACUCGGGCAGUUCCGUAGUUUCCUUUUGCAAGAGAAAAUUUUUCGUCUUUAGGAAAAAAGUAAUACUGUCGGGGAAAACAAUGUUGUCUUCCCGAGAAGACCGUAUUUUGGGAGAUCACAACUGCUAGCGCUACUCAACGUGCCAGUCACCUCUUUGACGGAGAGUCUUCGUUCCUUCUCUCCUCCGUAACAGAAAGUCAGAGUGCAGCAAUGGAGAAAGAGAGAGAAACGAACUCUCUCCAAAUUAAGCGCCAGUGGCUCUGAAUGGUGGCUCCAGGAGAUGUGCUUUCGGCGAGAACGCAAGGUGAUGGCAAAAUCGCUCCUUUCCGCGCUGCGGAGAAAAGCCCCCUGUUCGGAGGAAAGCAGCCGGCUGAAGUCGCUCUCUGCCGGCUACCGAAUUGCCCGAAUGCGCGGCUGUCGGCAGCAAGCGGCAUUCGGGGACGCGACCGAACGCUUUGCCUAGCUGUUCUCCGCGACUGAGGAUUUCUGCCGAUAAGAGCGGACUCGGGCAGUUCCGUAGUUUCCUUUUGCAAGAGAAAAUUUUUCGUCUUUAGGAAAAAAGUAAUACUGUCGGGGAAAACAAUGUUGUCUUCCCGAGAAGACCGUAUUUUGGGAGAUCACAACUGCUAGCGCUACUCAACGUGCCAGUCACCUCUUUGACGGAGAGUCUUCGUUCCUUCUCUCCUCCGUAACAGAAAGUCAGAGUGCAGCAAUGGAGAAAGAGAGAGAAACGAACUCUCUCCAAAUUAAGCGCCAGUGGCUCUGAAUGGUGGCUCCAGGAGAUGUGCUUUCGGCGAGAACGCAAGGUGAUGGCAAAAUCGCUCCUUUCCGCGCUGCGGAGAAAAGCCCCCUGUUCGGAGGAAAGCAGCCGGCUGAAGUCGCUCUCUGCCGGCUACCGAAUUGCCCGAAUGCGCGGCUGUCGGCAGCAAGCGGCAUUCGGGGACGCGACCGAACGCUUUGCCUAGCUGUUCUCCGCGACUGAGGAUUUCUGCCGAUAAGAGCGGACUCGGGCAGUUCCGUAGUUUCCUUUUGCAAGAGAAAAUUUUUCGUCUUUAGGAAAAAAGUAAUACUGUCGGGGAAAACAAUGUUGUCUUCCCGAGAAGACCGUAUUUUGGGAGAUCACAACUGCUAGCGCUACUCAACGUGCCAGUCACCUCUUUGACGGAGAGUCUUCGUUCCUUCUCUCCUCCGUAACAGAAAGUCAGAGUGCAGCAAUGGAGAAAGAGAGAGAAACGAACUCUCUCCAAAUUAAGCGCCAGUGGCUCUGAAUGGUGGCUCCAGGAGAUGUGCUUUCGGCGAGAACGCAAGGUGAUGGCAAAAUCGCUCCUUUCCGCGCUGCGGAGAAAAGCCCCCUGUUCGGAGGAAAGCAGCCGGCUGAAGUCGCUCUCUGCCGGCUACCGAAUUGCCCGAAUGCGCGGCUGUCGGCAGCAAGCGGCAUUCGGGGACGCGACCGAACGCUUUGCCUAGCUGUUCUCCGCGACUGAGGAUUUCUGCCGAUAAGAGCGGACUCGGGCAGUUCCGUAGUUUCCUUUUGCAAGAGAAAAUUUUUCGUCUUUAGGAAAAAAGUAAUACUGUCGGGGAAAACAAUGUUGUCUUCCCGAGAAGACCGUAUUUUGGGAGAUCACAACUGCUAGCGCUACUCAACGUGCCAGUCACCUCUUUGACGGAGAGUCUUCGUUCCUUCUCUCCUCCGUAACAGAAAGUCAGAGUGCAGCAAUGGAGAAAGAGAGAGAAACGAACUCUCUCCAAAUUAAGCGCCAGUGGCUCUGAAUGGUGGCUCCAGGAGAUGUGCUUUCGGCGAGAACGCAAGGUGAUGGCAAAAUCGCUCCUUUCCGCGCUGCGGAGAAAAGCCCCCUGUUCGGAGGAAAGCAGCCGGCUGAAGUCGCUCUCUGCCGGCUACCGAAUUGCCCGAAUGCGCGGCUGUCGGCAGCAAGCGGCAUUCGGGGACGCGACCGAACGCUUUGCCUAGCUGUUCUCCGCGACUGAGGAUUUCUGCCGAUAAGAGCGGACUCGGGCAGUUCCGUAGUUUCCUUUUGCAAGAGAAAAUUUUUCGUCUUUAGGAAAAAAGUAAUACUGUCGGGGAAAACAAUGUUGUCUUCCCGAGAAGACCGUAUUUUGGGAGAUCACAACUGCUAGCGCUACUCAACGUGCCAGUCACCUCUUUGACGGAGAGUCUUCGUUCCUUCUCUCCUCCGUAACAGAAAGUCAGAGUGCAGCAAUGGAGAAAGAGAGAGAAACGAACUCUCUCCAAAUUAAGCGCCAGUGGCUCUGAAUGGUGGCUCCAGGAGAUGUGCUUUCGGCGAGAACGCAAGGUGAUGGCAAAAUCGCUCCUUUCCGCGCUGCGGAGAAAAGCCCCCUGUUCGGAGGAAAGCAGCCGGCUGAAGUCGCUCUCUGCCGGCUACCGAAUUGCCCGAAUGCGCGGCUGUCGGCAGCAAGCGGCAUUCGGGGACGCGACCGAACGCUUUGCCUAGCUGUUCUCCGCGACUGAGGAUUUCUGCCGAUAAGAGCGGACUCGGGCAGUUCCGUAGUUUCCUUUUGCAAGAGAAAAUUUUUCGUCUUUAGGAAAAAAGUAAUACUGUCGGGGAAAACAAUGUUGUCUUCCCGAGAAGACCGUAUUUUGGGAGAUCACAACUGCUAGCGCUACUCAACGUGCCAGUCACCUCUUUGACGGAGAGUCUUCGUUCCUUCUCUCCUCCGUAACAGAAAGUCAGAGUGCAGCAAUGGAGAAAGAGAGAGAAACGAACUCUCUCCAAAUUAAGCGCCAGUGGCUCUGAAUGGUGGCUCCAGGAGAUGUGCUUUCGGCGAGAACGCAAGGUGAUGGCAAAAUCGCUCCUUUCCGCGCUGCGGAGAAAAGCCCCCUGUUCGGAGGAAAGCAGCCGGCUGAAGUCGCUCUCUGCCGGCUACCGAAUUGCCCGAAUGCGCGGCUGUCGGCAGCAAGCGGCAUUCGGGGACGCGACCGAACGCUUUGCCUAGCUGUUCUCCGCGACUGAGGAUUUCUGCCGAUAAGAGCGGACUCGGGCAGUUCCGUAGUUUCCUUUUGCAAGAGAAAAUUUUUCGUCUUUAGGAAAAAAGUAAUACUGUCGGGGAAAACAAUGUUGUCUUCCCGAGAAGACCGUAUUUUGGGAGAUCACAACUGCUAGCGCUACUCAACGUGCCAGUCACCUCUUUGACGGAGAGUCUUCGUUCCUUCUCUCCUCCGUAACAGAAAGUCAGAGUGCAGCAAUGGAGAAAGAGAGAGAAACGAACUCUCUCCAAAUUAAGCGCCAGUGGCUCUGAAUGGUGGCUCCAGGAGAUGUGCUUUCGGCGAGAACGCAAGGUGAUGGCAAAAUCGCUCCUUUCCGCGCUGCGGAGAAAAGCCCCCUGUUCGGAGGAAAGCAGCCGGCUGAAGUCGCUCUCUGCCGGCUACCGAAUUGCCCGAAUGCGCGGCUGUCGGCAGCAAGCGGCAUUCGGGGACGCGACCGAACGCUUUGCCUAGCUGUUCUCCGCGACUGAGGAUUUCUGCCGAUAAGAGCGGACUCGGGCAGUUCCGUAGUUUCCUUUUGCAAGAGAAAAUUUUUCGUCUUUAGGAAAAAAGUAAUACUGUCGGGGAAAACAAUGUUGUCUUCCCGAGAAGACCGUAUUUUGGGAGAUCACAACUGCUAGCGCUACUCAACGUGCCAGUCACCUCUUUGACGGAGAGUCUUCGUUCCUUCUCUCCUCCGUAACAGAAAGUCAGAGUGCAGCAAUGGAGAAAGAGAGAGAAACGAACUCUCUCCAAAUUAAGCGCCAGUGGCUCUGAAUGGUGGCUCCAGGAGAUGUGCUUUCGGCGAGAACGCAAGGUGAUGGCAAAAUCGCUCCUUUCCGCGCUGCGGAGAAAAGCCCCCUGUUCGGAGGAAAGCAGCCGGCUGAAGUCGCUCUCUGCCGGCUACCGAAUUGCCCGAAUGCGCGGCUGUCGGCAGCAAGCGGCAUUCGGGGACGCGACCGAACGCUUUGCCUAGCUGUUCUCCGCGACUGAGGAUUUCUGCCGAUAAGAGCGGACUCGGGCAGUUCCGUAGUUUCCUUUUGCAAGAGAAAAUUUUUCGUCUUUAGGAAAAAAGUAAUACUGUCGGGGAAAACAAUGUUGUCUUCCCGAGAAGACCGUAUUUUGGGAGAUCACAACUGCUAGCGCUACUCAACGUGCCAGUCACCUCUUUGACGGAGAGUCUUCGUUCCUUCUCUCCUCCGUAACAGAAAGUCAGAGUGCAGCAAUGGAGAAAGAGAGAGAAACGAACUCUCUCCAAAUUAAGCGCCAGUGGCUCUGAAUGGUGGCUCCAGGAGAUGUGCUUUCGGCGAGAACGCAAGGUGAUGGCAAAAUCGCUCCUUUCCGCGCUGCGGAGAAAAGCCCCCUGUUCGGAGGAAAGCAGCCGGCUGAAGUCGCUCUCUGCCGGCUACCGAAUUGCCCGAAUGCGCGGCUGUCGGCAGCAAGCGGCAUUCGGGGACGCGACCGAACGCUUUG